UGAACGCUGGCGGCAGGCCUAACACAUGCAAGUCGAGCGGCAGCGCGGGGGCAACCCUGGCGGCGAGCGGCGGACGGGUGAGGAAUGCAUCGGAAUCUACCCUGUCGUGGGGGAUAACGUAGGGAAACUUACGCUAAUACCGCAUACGACCGAGAGGUGAAAGUGGGGGACCGCAAGGCCUCACGCGAUUGGAUGAGCCGAUGCCGGAUUAGCUAGUUGGAGGGGUAAAGGCCCACCAAGGCGACGAUCCGUAGCUGGUCUGAGAGGAUGAUCAGCCACAUUGGGACUGAGACACGGCCCAAACUCCUACGGGAGGCAGCAGUGGGGAAUAUUGGACAAUGGGCGCAAGCCUGAUCCAGCCAUGCCGCGUGUGUGAAGAAGGCCUUCGGGUUGUAAAGCACUUUUGUUGGGGAAGAAAUUGUACGGGCGAAUACCCCGUGCGGAUGACGGUACCCAAAGAAUAAGCACCGGCUAACUUCGUGCCAGCAGCCGCGGUAAUACGAAGGGUGCAAGCGUUACUCGGAAUCACUGGGCGUAAAGCGUGCGUAGGCGGUUGGUUAAGUCUGCUGUGAAAGCCCUGGGCUCAACCUGGGAACUGCAGUGGAUACUGGCCAGCUCGAGUGUGAUAGAGGAUGGUGGAAUUCCCGGUGUAGCGGUGAAAUGCGUAGAGAUCGGGAGGAACACCAGUGGCGAAGGCGGCCAUCUGGAUCAACAC
rnacentral:rRNA from 1 species